rnacentral:rRNA from 1 species
AUUAAUUCGAUGCAACGCGAAGAACCUUACCAAGGCUUGACAUGUUCUCGAUCGCCGUAGAGAUACGGUUUCCCCUUUGGGGCGGGUUCACAGGUGGUGCAUGGUUGUCGUCAGCUCGUGUCGUGAGAUGUUGGGUUAAGUCCCGCAGCGAGCGCAACCCUCGUUCCAUGUUGCCAGCACGUCGUGGUGGGGACUCAUGGGAGACUGCCGGGGUCAACUCGGAGGAAGGUGAGGACGACGUCAAAUCAUCAUGCCCCUUAUGUCUUGGGCUUCACGCAUGCUACAAUGGCCGGUACAAUGGGUUGCGAUACUGUGAGGUGGAGCUAAUCCCAAAAAGCCGGUCUCAGUUCGGAUUGGGGUCUGCAACUCGACCCCAUGAAGUCGGAGUCGCUAGUAAUCGCAGAUCAGCAACGCUG